rnacentral:rRNA from 1 species
UGCCCACUGAUAUAAAUUAAAGGGCUGCAGUAAUUUGACUGUACAAAGGUAGCAUAAUCAUUAGUCAUUUAAUUGAUGACUUGUAUGAAAGAUUGGAUGAAAUAUAAACUGUUUUAAAUUUAAAUUUUAUAAUUUAAUUUUUUAGUUAAAAAGCUAAAAUAUAGUAAAAAGACGAGAAGACCCUAUAGAGUUUAAUUAAAUAUAUAAAUAAAUAUUAUUAUAUUUAAAUUAAAAUUGAAAUUUAUUUUUUAAUUUUGUUGGGGUGAUAGAAAAAUUUAGUUAACUUUUUUUUGUUUUAAACAUAGAUAAAUGAUUAUAUGAUCCAAUUAUUAUUGAUUAAAAGAAAAAAUUACCUUAGGGAUAACAGCGUAAUUUUUUUUUUUAGUUCUUAUAAAAAAAAAAGUUUGCGACCUCGAUGUUGGAUUAAGAUAAAAUUUAAAUGUAGAAGUUUAAAGUUUUGA